AGGUGCGUCUAAUGGUCAGGUGCGUCUUAUGGUGCAAAAAAUACGGCUCCCAAAGAGGUCAUGGCAUGGGGAAGCAGCAAUCUUUCAUUUUCAAGGCAUCAUGUCUACCAGUGUUUCAGUUCAGAAAGUCAAGAAAAGGCGAUUUUUUAUAUAUGAAAGAAGGAAGCGUCUCUGACCCCGUCUUGUCACUUACGCCCAGCCUUCCCCUCUGAUGACAUCAUGGCUCCCAGCAUCCAGUUCACCAACACUUCCCAGCAUUCCUCUGGCACUUCCGGUCCGUCCUCUAUAAAUACCCCAGUUCGCCAUUUGUUUGUUGUCUUGUGCUGAAUGUACUUGGU